CACAGAGCUCAGUGACUUCUGGAAAGUGCUACGUGAAGCAGUCCUCCAGAAGGAGGUCCUCUGCCAGCUGCUGGUGAAUUGAACUGUUCAAUAUGUGGAAAACCUGUUUUGGGCAUAUGUGUGUGAGCUGUGAGUAUCAUCAUACAGAAAACAGAAGGAAACAAAUGGCAGGUCCGGAGGAAGCGGGUGACACGUUCUAAGAGGUGAAGAGACUCCUACGGAGAACAAAGCUGAUUCCGUGGAAGCUCUCACUCCAUCUACCAGUGCAUUCUGUAUCUUUCCAACCCACGGCAUCUGGUUUUACUUGGCUGUCCUUGGCAGGCCUUUUAUAUUGCUCAAGGAGUUGGCCUCUUACUGGAAUAUACACCCUUCUGGGGCCUUGGAUGGUAAAUGUUAAUGCUCAAACUGUGUUGCCAUGCUGUUGGUGGCAUUUUGAAGAACUUCUAGGUCUGUAGAGCUACUUCAAUCACAGUGGCAAAGAAUAUCUGCUCUCAAACACUGAGGCUUCUGCACAGGAGAACAAAAUGAAAGUGACUUGGAAAGAAAAGUAAAACAGAAGAGGUUGCAAGAUGUGGCCUAUGUGCCAUUAAAGUGGUGAACCUGUAGAGGAAACUUUAAAAAUAACAAAGCAGCAGUGGAGGCAGGUGCUGUCCUGAGAAAGCUGCUUCUCCGCUUCACUUGGGAAGUGUCCCACACUGGGUGGUACCACGGGGAGAGGGGCGUAUAUUCCCACCUAAAGAAGAUAUCCAUCUCAAGUGGCAGGAUCUGAAGAGGAAACUACAACUCUAGUAAGUAAAAAAGUGCUGCUCAGUUCUGCACAGCAAAAUGCAAGCCAUUUUCAUAAAAACAGUGAAUGCAUUCUUGAAAAUUCACAAGAGCUGAGUUACUUUAAUGAGAGGCUGAGAAGGAGGAAGGUGGGACACUGGCAGAUUUCUCGAGAUGUGUGGGCACAUUGAUGCCUCCCUCUUUCAUCUGCUGUUGGAAGCUAGCCACUUGAUGAGAGCAGUAAUGAGGGGACUGAUCAUAGAAAUAACAUAAGACUUAGUCUUGUGCUAUCCUAGCAAGAAAUAGUAUUACAGAGUUAUUCUGCUUUAGCAUUGAUU